rnacentral:rRNA from 1 species
AGUGAACGCUGGCGGUAGGCCUAACACAUGCAAGUCGAACGGCAGCACAGUAAGAGCUUGCUCUUACGGGUGGCGAGUGGCGGACGGGUGAGGAAUACAUCGGAAUCUACUUUUUCGUGGGGGAUAACGUAGGGAAACUUACGCUAAUACCGCAUACGACCUACGGGUGAAAGCAGGGGAUCUUCGGACCUUGCGAUUGAAUGAGCCGAUGUCGGAUUAGCUAGUUGGCGGGGUAAAGGCCCACCAAGGCGACGAUCCGUAGCUGGUCUGAGAGGAUGAUCAGCCACACUGGAACUGAGACACGGUCCAGACUCCUACGGGAGGCAGCAGUGGGGAAUAUUGGACAAUGGGCGCAAGCCUGAUCCAGCCAUACCGCGUGGGUGAAGAAGGCCUUCGGGUUGUAAAGCCCUUUUGUUGGGAAAGAAAAGCAGCAGGUUAAUACCCCGCUGUUCUGACGGUACCCAAAGAAUAAGCACCGGCUAACUUCGUG